rnacentral:rRNA from 1 species
UACGUAGGGUGCAAGCGUUAAUCGGAAUUACUGGGCGUAAAGCGUGCGCAGGCGGUUUUGUAAGUCUGUCGUGAAAUCCCCGGGCUCAACCUGGGAAUUGCGCUUGAAACUACGGAGCUGGAGUAUGGCAGAGGGAGGUGGAAUUCCACGUGUAGCGGUGAAAUGCGUAGAGAUGUGGAGGAACACCGAUGGCGAAGGCAGCCUCCUGGGCCAAUACUG